ensembl:lncRNA
UAUAUAUUAAUUAUUAUUAUUAUUAUUUUUUUUUUUUCAAAGGCCAGCAUCGGAGAGCAUGUAAAGGCAUCUUUAUUAAAGCUUUGUUUGCACAUUUCCUCAGAGUAAUAUAGAGUUCAUAUGAAUGAAGGUUUUCUGUAGUGUAUUCAUUUGUCUCAUGUUUCCCCCUCGAAACAAACACUCACAGUUGCACUUAUUUUUUUAAACAGUUUUCAUGACUUUUGCAGCAAAAAUGCUGCUGCAGCUUUCGGAUUGUGUUACAGUCGGAUCACUUUUAACUGGUCAAUAUUAGCAGAGCUAUAUUUGCCCCAGGAUGGGAGUGUUUUAUGAUAGACCCAGUGACAGGCUUGUUGUCUGGGUUUAAAGGGGCAUUAGUGGUCUGUGUAGUUCCAGAGACAUCUGCUGUAAAGAUGUCUGCCUCUUCUUUAGUGAAAUGGAGCUGUGGCCCUCACCGUGCCCAAAAAUCACAGAUUUUAAAAGCUCGGCAGCAGAAAUCUGAUGUAGUGCAAAGAAAGAAGUUCCAGCAUGAAACUGCUUGUGAGGAUUUUUAUUUGUAUUUUUUUUUAUUUGUAUUUUUUUUAAAGUAACCUUGUGACUUACAUUUAGCUGAUUUUGGAGUGAACUCUAUUUCUGUUCAUGCAUUUAGACAGAUUGUGGCCACUCAUGACCAGUCUGCAUAACUGUGCUGCUUUUGUCAGAAAAAAACUGAUGUGCAGUAUACACGUAUGCAUCUUUUACAUAAGAUCAAAACAUGAACCCUUCUACAAAAACAAAACAAACCCCCCCAAACAAAUGCUAAUAUCUUACAGUGAAACAUUGGAAGGCUUCAUUAACCUAUACAACAGGAACUCUACUUAAGUCAAACCAAUCAAUGAAAGUUUUAAUAAUAAAAUGAUUUACUGAAUGUCACAUUUAAGGGUGAGUGUAUAUCACUAGCCACAAACUGCUUUGCGGGCUCUAAGUUUUCAGCACAUGCAGUGCAGAAUAAAUCAAAGAUGCUAUCUUCAGUGCCUGCUGGCUACAGUUUGUUGAUGCUGUGGUAUUAAAACCCAACACAUGCAGUAUAUGAACUGGAAAAAAAAACCUGACCUAUGUAUGUCGCGCCAGUGUUGAUGAUAUGUCAGCAAUGUGGAAAUGCAGUACUGUGAGGAAUUAUUUGUUUACACAAAAUGCAUGGGAAUUAUUAAAACCUUUUUAUUUUCC